rnacentral:pre_miRNA from 1 species
AAGUGAAAGCUCUGUUUUUGUCUUUGGUUAUCUAGCUGUAUGAUUGAAAUAGAAACAUUAUAAAGCUAGGUUACCAAAGGCAAAAAUGGUGACUAUACUCUA